rnacentral:rRNA from 1 species
GACAGAGGCCUCAAGCGUUAGGCGGAAUCACUGGGCUUAAAGGGCGCGUAGGCGGGCGGCCAAGUCAGGGGUGAAAUCUUUCGGCUCAACCGGAAAAGUGCCUCUGAUACUGGUGGCCUCGAGGGAGGUAGGGGUCUGCGGAACUUCCGGUGGAGCGGUGAAAUGCGUAGAUAUCGGAAGGAACGCCGGUGGCGAAAGCGGCGGACUGGACCUCUUCUGACGCUGAGGCGCGAAAGCCAGGGGAGCAAACGGG